rnacentral:sRNA from 1 species
GUAUGCCCGCGUUAAGGAUUGAAACGGCAUCCUUUUUUUGUUUUAAAAAAAGAUAUAGUGUAAAGCCUGACCCAAU